rnacentral:rRNA from 1 species
UACGUAGGGUGCGAGCGUUGUCCGGAAUUAUUGGGCGUAAAGGGCUCGUAGGCGGUCUGUCGCGUCGGGAGUGAAAACUCAGGGCUUAACCCUGAGCCUGCUUCCGAUACGGGCAGACUAGAGGUAUGCAGGGGAGAACGGAAUUCCUGGUGUAGCGGUGGAAUGCGCAGAUAUCAGGAGGAAUACCUAUGGCGAAAGCAGGUAUCUGAGCCAUCACUGACGCUGAGCUGCGAAAGCUAGGGGAGCAAACAGG